CCCUACUUACCAUGUGGAGAUGAGGUAGCUUUCAUUGCUGCCCGCAUCCUGAAUGCCCAAUUCUCACCACACAAAAUGGAGCAAUGGGUAUUCAUUUGGGCAACAUCCCGCCACACAAUUUCUUUCCCGGGAGAUCAAGCAAGGUCUGCUUUCUCCUUAU